GUUUCAGCAGGAGCUCAGAUGAAAUCCUGUAUUGCAUAUCUGGAAUCUGAAAUCUCUGUAACAGAAACUUCUCAAGAAGAAAUCAAUGAAACCACAUUUCGGAAAUACAAGCAACUCUAUCUAAAAGAAUUGAAAAUUAGAAAAUUGUCAUACAAAAAACUAAGAGAAAUUCAUCAGAAUCUAACAGAAGACACUGCUGAUUUGCUUGAUGAAAAAAAGAGUAACAGAUCUUGAUGUAUCACUCUUGCCAUAAGCUGCUUCUGAAUAUGCAUCUGGAUUCGACAUAUCUUCUCCUUUAAUCAUAUGAUGUGUUAAAUGUAAACCAAGUUCUAGUUGGAAAAGCACAUGAGAAUAUAUACAAAUUUUACAGAAAAA